rnacentral:rRNA from 1 species
AUACGGAGGGGGCAAGCGUUGUUCGGAAUUACUGGGCGUAAAGAGUACGUAGGCGGAUCGUUAAGUUAGAGGUGAAAUCCCAGGGCUCAACCCUGGAACUGCCUUUAAUACUGGCGAUCUAGAGAUCGAGAGAGGUGAGUGGAAUUUCCAGUGUAGAGGUGAAAUUCGUAGAUAUUGGAAAGAACACCAGUGGCGAAGGCGGCUCACUGGCUCGAUACUGACGCUGAGGUACGAAAGCGUGGGGGGCAAACAGAAUUAGAAACCCUAGUAGUCC